rnacentral:tRNA from 1 species
AGGUGGUUAGAGCGCACCCCUGAUAAGGGUGAGGUCGGUGGUUCAAGUCCACUCAGGCCUACCA